rnacentral:rRNA from 1 species
AUUGAACGCUGGCGGCAUGCCUUACACAUGCAAGUCGAACGGUAACGGGCCUUCGGGUGCCGACGAGUGGCGAACGGGUGAGUAAUACAUCGGAACGUGCCCGAUCGCGGGGGAUAACGAGGCGAAAGCUUUGCUAAUACCGCAUACGAUCUACGGAUGAAAGCAGGGGACCGCAAGGCCUUGCGCGGACGGAGCGGCCGAUGGCAGAUUAGGUAGUUGGUGGGAUAAAAGCUUACCAAGCCGACGAUCUGUAGCUGGUCUGAGAGGAUGAUCAGCCACACUGGGACUGAGACACGGCCCAGACUCCUACGGGAGGCAGCAGUGGGGAAUUUUGGACAAUGGGCGCAAGCCUGAUCCAGCCAUGCCGCGUGCAGGAUGAAGGCCUUCGGGUUGUAAACUGCUUUUGUACGGAACGAAAAGCCUUCUUUUAAUACAGGAGGGUCAUGACGGUACCGGAAGAAUAAGCACCGGCUAACUACGUG